ensembl:lncRNA
GUCCCAAGCUCUGAAAAGCAGCAACCCCUUCACACACCCCGUCUCUCUCAUUCAUCACGCUGCUCACGUUGAUCACGUCAGCUCCAAAAUAUGACCGAGUGGCGUGCAAAAUCGCCCGCUCAUAUUUAUAGCACGGAGCCAUAAAGCCAGAUCGAUAUACAUUAUGGUGUGGGAUUGUGUUCUGUUUGCUGCUGUGUAUAAUAAAGUCUCUAAUAGGAUUUCGAUGAAAAUGCAUGAACAGAGAAAUAAAUAGACCACAAGAGCAUGAGGAUCACUAAAGCAAAGUGAGGCAUGGGGAUUUGUGGACGGGGAAAAAAGGAAAAGGAGAUUUGGCUUUUCAGCUUCGGAUGUUUGGAGCUGCACAGGAAGUGAGCGAGGAAAAGAAGACGACUGGAGGUUUAACGUUCAUGCUCUAGAAAAGUGAGAGCCGUGAAAUAGACAGAUCUGUGUGUGUGGAGUGCAGCGCUGAGUGCAGUGAGUGUACGCACCUCUACUUAAAAAUCAACAACAACACAUUAGGAGAUUGUUUUUGACUCGUAUGCUUCUCGGAAUAUUGAGAAGGAUUUGAGGAGAAUAUUAUUAGAACGGUAUGCUUCAAGGAACUUUUAGGAGAAAUUUAUAAGGAUGUUUGAUGAUUGUCAUGGUUCUCGGUACUUUUAGGAGAACUUCAGUAAAGCGUUUUCUGUACCGUGUGGUUCUCGGUACUUUUAGGAGAACUUCAGUAGAGUGUUUUCUGUACAGUAUGGUUCUCGGUACUUUUAGGAGAACUUCAGUAGAGCGUUUUCUGUACCGUGUGGUUCUCGGUACUUUUAUGAGAAUUUCAGUAGAGUGUUUUCUGUACGGUGUGGUUCUCGGUACUUUUAUGAGAAUUUCAGUAGAGUGUUUUCUGUACGGUGUGGUUCUCGGUACUUUUAGGAGAACUUCAGUAGAGUGUUUUCUGUACGGUGUGGUUCUCGGUACUUUUAGGAGAACUUCAGUAGAGCGUUUUCUGUACCGUGUGGUUCUCGGUACUUUUAGGAGAACUUCAGUAGAGUGUUUUCUGUACCGUGUGGUUCUCGGUACUUUUAGGAGAACUUCAGUAGAGCGUUUUCUGUACGGUGUGGUUCUCGGUACUUUUAGGAGAACUUCAGUAGAGUGUUUUCUGUACAGUAUGGUUCUCGGUACUUUUAGGAGAACUUCAGUAGAGCGUUUUCUGUACCGUGUGGUUCUCGGUACUUUUAGGAGAACUUCAGUAGAGCGUUUUCUGUACAGUAUGGUUCUCGGUACUUUUAGGAGAACUUCAGUAGAGUGUUUUCUGUACGGUGUGGUUCUCGGUACUUUUAGGAGAACUUCUGUAGAGUGUUUUCUGUACGGUGUGGUUCUCGGUACUUUUAUGAGAACUUCAACAGAGCAUUUUCUGUAUGGUGUGGUUCUCGGUACUUUUAGGAGAACUUCAGUAGAGUGUUUUCUGUACCGUGUGGUUCUCGGUACUUUUAGGAGAACUUCAGUAGAGUGUUUUCUGUACCUUGUGGUUCUCGGUACUUUUAUGAGAAUUUGAGAAGGUGGUUGUCUGAACAUCAUGGUUUUAGGAACGUUUAGCAGAGCUUUGAGGGAAGGUUUUCUGAACGCUAUGGUUCUAGGAUCUUUUAGGAGAAAUUUAGUAGAGCCUUUUUAAAGAACAGUACGGUUCUGGGAAAUUUUAGUACAAUUAUACGAGAAUGUUUUCCGAACAUCAUGGUUGUAGAAAUUGUUGGUAGAAUUUGAGGGAAUGCAUCUCGGUUGCUAGGUAACAGACACAACAAAUGAUUACAGACUAGUUUAGAUGGGAUAAGUAAGGAAUGAAAAACAAAGCAAUGAUGGACUGAAGAGUUUUAUUUCUCUUGUCCCGUAGCACUUUGCCAAUGAGUAAUUAAAUUAAUGAACAAUUAAAAAAGUAAAUUUGCGGCGAAUGUGCUGCUGAUUAACUUCAUCAUCAAAACCUCUUUCAGGCGGAUGAUUUAUUUUUUCCUUCCACCUGAAAAGUGUUCCAGCAGCAAAGGCCUUGGUCUGAGUGAUGUACUCCUGAUUUAUCAUUCAGCACACAAAAGGUUCUUAUUUUCAUGGUCAGGACACAAGGACAAGGUUUUCUUGAUAUUUUCAUGAACAUAGAAUGAAUACAUUAUCAAGAGUUUUGGCGAGGAGUAUUGUAGCAGAACGUUUUCUGAACCGUACGGUUCUAGUAGCUUUUAGAAGAACCUUUUCUGAACAUUGUGGUUCCAGGAACUUUUAGAGAACUUUUUUCUGAACUUCAUGGUGGCUAGAUGUUUGAUCUCCAAUCAAAUCAGCUCCCCUCAUUCACUGUAAAAAAGUUUAAUUUUUAAAAGUGAGAAAAUUUUACAUCGUCAGAUUAAAUGUUUGAAUUAAAUUUCAUUUAAGGAAUGAAAACGUGCUUUAAAGACAUUCGCGAAAAAUCUCAAUAAAAAAAUAAACAGAAUAAGAGAUUAAACCAUCUUCAUUCAACCUGCUAGUGGUUUCCAGCUGCUAGCGCCGAAGUCAAGAACUCCGCUGUCACAUCCACGAGCAGGACUAGCUGAGAUUGAGUCGAGACCGAGUCAAGACCGAGACCGAGUCGAGACCGAGUCAAGACCGAGACCGAGUCGAGACCGAGACCGAGUCGAGACCGAGUCAAGACCGAGACCGAGUCAAGACCGAGACCGAACCGAGACCGAGUCAAGACCGAGACCGAGUCGAGACCAAGUCAAGACCGAGACCGAGUCAAGACCGAGACCGAGUCAAGACCGAGACCGAGACCGAGUCAAGACCGAGACCGAGCCGAGACCGAGACCGAGACCGAGUCAAGACCGAGACCGAGUCGAGACCAAGUCAAGACCGAGACCGAGACCGAGUCAAGACCGAGACCGAAAAGCAUCAACUCCUUUACUUCAACUAGUCACCUUCAUUCAUGCAUUGUUCCAGUAAAUAGACUGUUUCUAGAAGAAUGAAUUGCCUCUUAUCAAACUUUGUGCAAGCAAAAACAAAAGAUGAACAUUAUUCUUACAAACUCUGGCUGGAGAUUCGUAAAAGACCAGAUUUAAUGAGACGAAUACCCAAGACUGAGACAAGUCCAAGUCCAAAUGUUGCAUGAAUCAUGUCCUACGGCUAGAAACUGUACAACAUACAAUAGAUUAUGUUCAACAUGGCUCAUAAAAUGUUCUCCUAAAAGUUCCUAGAACCAUGUUGCUCAGAAACUGUUCUCCUAAAAUCCUCAUAAACGUUCCUCGAUAAACAUGGUUUAUAAAAUGUUCUCCUAAAAUCCUCCUAAAACUUUCUAGAUCAACAUGGUUCAUAAAAUGUUCUCCUAAAUGUUCCUAGAACCAUGAUGCUCAUAAAAUGUUCUCCUAAAAGCCUUCUAAUAGUUUCUCAGUCAAUGUGGUUCAUGAAGCAUUCUCCUAAAAGUUCCUAGAUCAGCAUGGCUCAUAAAAUGUUCUCCUAAAAGUUCCUAGAACCGUGUUGCUCAUAAAAUGUUCCCCGAAAAUCCUCAUAAAACUUUCUAGAUCAACAGGGUUCAUAAAAUGUUCCUAGAACCACGAUGCUCAUAAAAUGCUCUCCUAAAAGCCUCCUAAAAGUCUCUAGAUCCUUGUGGUUCACGAACCAUUCCCCUAAAAGUACCUAAAUCAACGUGGUUCAUAAAAUGUUCUCCUAAAAAUUUCUAGAUCAACAAGGUUCAUGAAAUAUUCUCCUAGACGUUUUUAGAACCACGCCAUUCAGCAAAACUUCUGUGAAUUCCUAGAUCCAAACUGUUCGUGUUCUCCUAAAGUUCUCCUUAAAGUUCUUUUGCAUCUCCGCCGAUGUUUUUUUGGUUCGUUUAAUCAUGUGCGGCGUGAAACCAAACCCAACCUUUAGCCAAACGAAGCAGAAGUAUGGAUUCGACUCGGAUUCGGAUUCGGGUUCGGAUCCGUUAGACACAUCGACAGGUUUAUUAGAAAUGAGAAUCCGCUCUUUGUGAACUUUUACACUUGACAUUUCUUUCUCAGCGAUAUUCCACAUCAUCCUGCAUGAUUUCGUCUCUGAGCUGAUUGAAAUCCUCUCUCGCUGCUACAGCAAUAUUUCCUGCAGAAAUUCGUGCACACACACACACACACACACACACACACACCCUAUGGAACACCAUUUGAGGUCAAAAUGAAAUAUAUAAAUAUGACAUAAUGAAAUAAAUCAUCAUGAGAAUCGCCCACGCUGCUCCAGCAGCUGCCGUAACGCUUUCACCUCGGACGCUUCGCGCUAAUCUGCACGCCAUUAAAAUAGCAUUUUCAACCGAAACAUGUGAACU